GACGAACGCUGGCGGCGUGCCUAAUACAUGCAAGUAGAACGCUGAAGGAGGAGCUUGCUUCUCUGGAUGAGUUGCGAACGGGUGAGUAACGCGUAGGUAACCUGCCUGGUAGCGGGGGAUAACUAUUGGAAACGAUAGCUAAUACCGCAUAAUAGCAGUUAUUGCAUGAUAACUGUUUGAAAGGUGCAAUUGCACCACUACCAGAUGGACCUGCGUUGUAUUAGCUAGUUGGUGGGGUAACGGCUCACCAAGGCGACGAUACAUAGCCGACCUGAGAGGGGGAUCGGCCACACUGGGACUGAGACACGGCCCAGACUCCUACGGGAGGCAGCAGUAGGGAAUCUUCGGCAAUGGACGGAAGUCUGACCGAGCAACGCCGCGUGAGUGAAGAAGGUUGUCGGAUCGUAAAGCUCUGUUGUAAGAGAAGAACGAGUGUGAGAGUGGAAAGUUCACACUGUGACGGUAGCUUACCAGAAAGGGACGGCUAACUACGUG
rnacentral:rRNA from 1 species